rnacentral:pre_miRNA from 1 species
UGACCUCUGCAGGCUGGCCGGGCCCCAGACUGGGCUGGGCAAGUAUCUCUUUGAAAGGCUCACCCUCAAGCACGACUAGGAGC